CGGCACUGGGGGCUGGCGCAUAGCGAAGGCAUAGAGUCGGCGUGAGUCCUCUUAUUUUUUUAUUUUCUUAAUUUGUGAUCAGAAAGAAUUCAUCACAAUUCAUUCAUUCAUUCAGAAGCCUCCUCCUCCUCCUCCUCAAAUCUCACUCUCACUUGCACUUGCCUUUCUCCCAUCAUCCUUCUCUUUCGGUUGCAAACAUGAGUGACCCAAAAUAUGGUUAUCCCUACCCUGCUCAAGGUUACUAUCAAGGCCCUCCUGUAAUGGCACCUCCCCAGUAUGCUGCUCCCCCUCCCAGAAGAGAACCUGGUUUCCUUGAAGGAUGUCUGGCGGCUUUGUGUUGCUGUUGCCUCAUAGAUGAGUGCUGCUGUGAUCCUUCCUUUAUCUUCAUCAGCUGAGGCUGAGAUGCUUCGCUUGUGACUGUGGCCUUCAUUCAAUAAUAUUUCCCUUUGUUCCUUUUAUAUUUAUGUGUGUGUCUAAGAACUAGUUAAGAUUCUAGGACUAGUGUUCCUGUGAGAUUGUGUUAAUUGCAAGGAUGUGCAUCUGAGACUUCUUUACCAUCUAAUUGACCUUUGGUUUGUUUCUUAA